ACAAGGCCAGGCCAAGACAUCGGCCCACGGUUGGGGAUCAGGGUCAGGCCUGGUGAGGGGAAGCAGAGUCAAUCACAAAAAUGGAAAGGACAGGCAGAUUCAUCAAUAUUUGGGACUUCAUAAGUGAAACCAAAAAAGAACAAGUUAGAGCAUGGAGACAAACAGUUCUACUGUAAUUCAAUCUUAAUAAGAAAUUGCCAAUUCCUAAUAAAGUCUUUUCCAGUCUA